AUGAAGAGUUUGAUCCUGGCUCAGGAUGAACGCUAGCUACAGGCUUAACACAUGCAAGUCGAGGGGCAGCAUUUUAGUUUGCUUGCAAACUAAAGAUGGCGACCGGCGCACGGGUGAGUAACACGUAUCCAACCUGCCGAUAACUCGGGGAUAGCCUUUCGAAAGAAAGAUUAAUAUCCGAUAGUAUAUUAAAACCGCAUGGUUUUACUAUUAAAGAAUUUCGGUUAUCGAUGGGGAUGCGUUCCAUUAGUUUGUUGGCGGGGUAACGGCCCACCAAGACUACGAUGGAUAGGGGUUCUGAGAGGAAGGUCCCCCACAUUGGAACUGAGACACGGUCCAAACUCCUACGGGAGGCAGCAGUGAGGAAUAUUGGUCAAUGGACGAGAGUCUGAACCAGCCAAGUAGCGUGAAGGAUGACUGCCCUAUGGGUUGUAAACUUCUUUUAUAUGGGAAUAAAGUAUUCCACGUGUGGAAUUUUGUAUGUACCAUAUGAAUAAGGAUCGGCUAACUCCGUGCCAGCAGCCGCGGUAAUACGGAGGAUCCGAGCGUUAUCCGGAUUUAUUGGGUUUAAAGGGAGCGUAGGUGGAUUGUUAAGUCAGUUGUGAAAGUUUGCGGCUCAACCGUAAAAUUGCAGUUGAAACUGGCAGUCUUGAGUACAGUAGAGGUGGGCGGAAUUCGUGGUGUAGCGGUGAAAUGCUUAGAUAUCACGAAGAACUCCGAUUGCGAAGGCAGCUCACUAGACUGCAACUGACACUGAUGCUCGAAAGUGUGGGUAUCAAACAGGAUUAGAUACCCUGGUAGUCCACACAGUAAACGAUGAAUACUCGCUGUUUGCGAUAUACAGUAAGCGGCCAAGCGAAAGCAUUAAGUAUUCCACCUGGGGAGUACGCCGGCAACGGUGAAACUCAAAGGAAUUGACGGGGGCCCGCACAAGCGGAGGAACAUGUGGUUUAAUUCGAUGAUACGCGAGGAACCUUACCCGGGCUUAAAUUGCAUUUGAAUAAUCUGGAAACAGGUUAGCCGCAAGGCAAAUGUGAAGGUGCUGCAUGGUUGUCGUCAGCUCGUGCCGUGAGGUGUCGGCUUAAGUGCCAUAACGAGCGCAACCCUUAUCUUUAGUUACUAACAGGUCAUGCUGAGGACUCUAGAGAGACUGCCGUCGUAAGAUGUGAGGAAGGUGGGGAUGACGUCAAAUCAGCACGGCCCUUACGUCCGGGGCUACACACGUGUUACAAUGGGGGGUACAGAAGGCAGCUACCUGGCGACAGGAUGCUAAUCCCAAAAACCUCUCUCAGUUCGGAUCGAAGUCUGCAACCCGACUUCGUGAAGCUGGAUUCGCUAGUAAUCGCGCAUCAGCCAUGGCGCGGUGAAUACGUUCCCGGGCCUUGUACACACCGCCCGUCAAGCCAUGAAAGCCGGGGGUACCUGAAGUACGUAACCGCAAGGAGCGUCCUAGGGUAAAACUGGUAAU
rnacentral:rRNA from 1 species